rnacentral:rRNA from 1 species
GACGAACGCUGGCGGCGUGCUUAACACAUGCAAGUCGAACGGAAAGGCCCUGCUUUUGUGGGGUGCUCGAGUGGCGAACGGGUGAGUAACACGUGAGUAACCUGCCCUUGACUUUGGGAUAACUUCAGGAAACUGGGGCUAAUACCGGAUAGGAGCUCCUGCUGCAUGGUGGGGGUUGGAAAGUUUCGGCGGUUGGGGAUGGACUCGCGGCUUAUCAGCUUGUUGGUGGGGUAGUGGCUUACCAAGGCUUUGACGGGUAGCCGGCCUGAGAGGGUGACCGGCCACAUUGGGACUGAGAUGCGGCCCAGACUCCUACGGGAGGCAGCAGUGGGGAAUAUUGCACAAUGGGCGGAAGCCUGAUGCAGCAACGCCGCGUGCGGGAUGACGGCCUUCGGGUUGUAAACCGCUUUCGCCUGUGACGAAGCGUGAGGGACGGUAAUGGGUAAAGAAGCACCGGCUAACUACGUG